CACAGAGAAGGGACAUUCACACGUCUUACUUCCUAUCCCAGACCCAGAGCCUAAGAAGGAGGGACUGGUCUGGUGGAAGAUGACAGCUUGCUCCAACAGAAGCUACCUGAAGGGC